CACGUAGGGUGCGAGCGUUGUCCGGAAUUAUUGGGCGUAAAGAGCUCGUAGGGCGGUGUGUCGCGUCGGCCGUGAAAACCUGCAGCUUAACUGUGGGCUUGCGGUCGAUACGGGCAUCACUGGAGUUCGGCAGGGGAGACUGGAAUUCCUGGUGUAGCGGUGAAAUGCGGCAGAUAAUCAGGAGGAACACCGGUGGCGAAGGCGGGUCUCCUGGGCCGAAUGACUGACGUGGAGGGAGCGAAAGCGUGGGGAGCGAACAGG
rnacentral:rRNA from 1 species